rnacentral:rRNA from 1 species
CUCUGUGACUCCUACGGGAGGCAGCAGUGGGGAAUAUUGCACAAUGGGCGCAAGCCUGAUGCAGCCAUGCCGCGUGUGUGAAGAAGGCCUUCGGGUUGUAAAGCACUUUCAGUUGUGAGGAAGGUGGUGUCGUUAAUAGCGGCAUCAUUUGACGUUACCUACAGAAGAAGCACCGGCUAACUCCGUGCCAGCAGCCGCGGUAAUACGGAGGGUGCGAGCGUUAAUCGGAAUUACUGGGCGUAAAGCGCAUGCAGGCGGCCUGUUAAGUCAGAUGUGAAAGCCCGGGGCUUAACCUCGGAAUUGCAUUUGAAACUGGCAGGCUAGAGUCUUGUAGAGGGGGUAGAAUUUCAGGUGUAGCGGUGAAAUGCGUAGAGAUCUGAAGGAAUACCAGUGGCGAAGGCGGCCCCCUGGACAAAGACUGACGCUCAGAUGCGAAAGCGUGGGGAGCAAACAGGAUUAGAUACCCUGGAG